rnacentral:rRNA from 1 species
CGGAGAGGGCGCCUGAGAAACGGCUACCACUUCUAAGGAAGGCAGCAGGCGCGCAAAUUACCCAAUCCUGACUCAGGGAGGUAGUGACAAGAAAUAACAAUAAACCGGCUUAUGCCGGUUUAAUUGGAAUGAGUACAAUUUAAACAUCUUAACGAGGAACAAUUGGAGGGCAAGUCUGGUGCCAGCAGCCGCGGUAAUUCCAGCUCCAAUAGCGUAUACUAAAGUUGUUGCAGUUAAAAAGCUCGUAGUUGGAUUUCUGCGGGGACGGAGCGGCCGGUCGCAACUUGCGACUCGAGCUAGCGCUUUCCCCGCAUCCUGCCGCGAACCGUGCUACCAUUAGUUUGGUGGCGCUGGGGAUCGGCUCGAUUACUUUGAGAAAAAUAGAGUGUUCAAAGCAGGCCACACGCCUUGAAUAAGUUAGCAUGGAAUAAUAACUAAGGACUUCGGUUCUAUUUUGUUGGUGUUCGGGACUGAAGUAAUGAUUGAUAGGGACAGUUGGGGCGGUCUGUAUUCCAAAGCGAGAGGUGAAAUUCUUAGACCUUCGGAAGACAAACAGCUGCGAAAGCGUUCCGCAAGGAUGUUCCCUUUGAUCAAGAACGAAAGUUGGGGGAUCGAAGACGAUCAGAUACCGUCGUAGUCUCAACUAUAAACUAUACCAGCUAGGGAUCGGCCAACGUUUAAUAUAAUCGACUUGGUCGGCACCUUAUGAGAAAUCAAAGCAUCUGGGUCCCGGGGGGAGUAUGGUCGCAAGGCUGAAACUUAAAGGAAUUGACGGAAGGGCACCACCAGCCGUGGAGCCUGUGGCUUAAUUUGACUCAACACGGGAAAACUUACCAGGUCCAGACAUAGUAAGGAUUGACAGAUUGAUAGCUCUUUCUUGAUUCUGUGGGUGGUGGUGCAUGGCCGUUCUUAGUUGGUGGAGUGAUUUGUCUGGUUAAUUCCGUUAACGAACGAGACCCCAGCCUGCUAAAUAGCGCGGCUGAGCUUUGCUCGGUGCGAGCUUCUUAGAGGGACUAUGAUGUGCGAUAGCACAUGGAAGUUUGGGGUAUAACAGGUCUGUGAUGCCCUUAGAUGUUCUGGGCCGCACACGGGCUACACUGGCGCCUGCAACGAGCAUAUCGGCUGGCCCGAGAGGGUCUUGGCUAAUCUUUUGAACCGGCGCCGUGCUUGGGAUUGACCAUUGCAAUUGUUGGUCAUGCAACGAGGAAUGCCUUGUAAACGCGAGUCAUCAACUCGCAUUGAAUACGUCCCUGCCCUUUGUACACACCGCCCGUCGCUCCUACCGAUGAAUGUUCCGAUGAAAUUUUUGGAGAGCGCCAGAGAACGGGGCUCUGCCCUGCAGAUCUGGAGGCUCAAAGUCACUUAAAUCUGAACAUUUCGAGGAAGGAGAAGUCGUAACAAGGUAACC